GACGAACGCUGGCGGCGUGCUUAACACAUGCAAGUCGAACGGUAAGGCGCUUUCUUUUUGGGUUGCUGGAGUGGCGAGCGGGAGAGUAACAUGAGAGUUAAGUGACCUGCCCUUUGGGACUACUUAAGCACAUUAAGGCUUAUAUAGUACAGGAGAUCCUGCUGCUUUGGCAGGGUUGGUAAGUUUCGGCGGUUGUGGAUGGGGUGGCGGGUUUUCAGCUUUUUGGUGGGGUUGUGGCGUACCAAGGCUUCGACGGGUAGUCGGCCUGAGAGGGUGACCGGCCACAUUGGGACUGAGAUACGGCCCAGACUCCUACGGGAGGCAGCAGUGGGGAAUAUUGCACAAUGGGCGGAAGCCGGAUGCAGCAACGCCGCGUGCGGGAUGACGGCCUUCGGGUUGUAAACCGCUUUCGCCUGUGACGAAGCGGGAGUGACGGUAAUGGGUAAAGAAGCACCGGCUAACUACGUG
rnacentral:rRNA from 1 species